GACGAACGCUGGCGGCGUGCUUAACACAUGCAAGUCGAACGGAAAGGCGCGGCUUUUGUUGUUUUCUCGUUUGGCGAGCGGGUGAGUGACACGUGAGUAUCCUGCCCUUGACUUUGGGAUAACUUCUCGAAACUGGGGAGAAUACCCGAGAUGAUCUCCUGAUGCAUGGGGUUGGUUGGAAAGUUUCGGCGGUGGGGGAUGGACUCGAGGCUUAUGAGCUGCUUGGGCGGGUAGGUGCUUACCAAGGUUGUGACGGGUAGCCGGCCUGAGAGCGUGGACGGCGACAUUGGGACUGAGAUACGGAGCAGACUCCUAUGGGAGGCAGCAGUCGGGAAUAUUGCACAAUGGCGGGAAGCCUGAUGCAGAAACGCUGCGAGCGGGAUGACGGCCUUUGGGUUGUAAACAGCUUUCGAAUGUGCCGAAGCGUGAGUGACGGUAAUGGGUAAAGAAGCACCGGCUAACUACGUG
rnacentral:rRNA from 1 species